GGGACCCUGCCUGCAGCUUCCAGAGCCCAGCGGCUGGGCCAUGCGGAGAGGAACGGACUGGCUGGGACCUGGCAUGGGUCCAGUCCUGCCACCACUUUGCUCCUGGACAGGGUCAUCUGUGCCUCUUUUCAUCCGGGCAAAUAAGAUUCGACGAUGCAGGAAUCUCUGGGACUUUGCUCCUAGGACUGCCCGGGAAUCUUGACCCAUCGCUAAGUAAGAUGGUGUUUAUAAACACAGGGGAACCUCUCAAAGGAACAAAAAGCAUUUAUUCACUCAACCUGGGACUUCAACUUUAUGGAAGAAGUAAGAGAAGAAGAGGAAGAAGAGGAAGAAGAAGCGGUGGCGGCGGAGGAGGAAGAGGAGGAGGAGGAAGAGAAGAGGAAGAAGAAGAAGGAGGAGGAGUAGCAGGAGGAGAAGAAGAGGAGGAGGAGGAGGAAUGCAUUUGUAUUCCGUCUGGAAAAGAGCUUUCCCUAGGCAAAGCUAAGACACACAGCUGCAGCCUUGACCGAUGACAGCUGUCCAUUUCAGGUCCCACUCAUAGAAAUAAUGACCCGGGCACAGGCAGCAAUUGUAGCAGACGCUAUUCCUUUUUUCUGUGUGUGCAUCAUUUUCGUUUGGUUUGUUUCUUACUCUUUGGUAGGAAUUUCUGCUUGAUGCUCCCACAGGACCUCGGUUCAGCUGGAUCAGUGGAAAACCUGUACAACUUGUCCCUUUAUAAAAACUCCCAGUUACAGUUUUUCUUUGAUAUUUACUUUGGAAUACCUAGAGACUCUUCCCACCCACAUCCCCCUUUCCAAAGACAACAUGGUCGUGUUGGAAACAAAAUUCGGGAGACCAGAGGACUUUGACUGUGGGAAGAAAUGUGGUAGUUUAGGAACCUGCGACUCCUUCUUCCCAGCCCUCCAGACCCUCCAAAGAGCUGUUGACAAGAGCCUUAGAUGAAGGCCCUGAGCUGUAGCCUAGCGCAAUUCUCCUUUGCCUAUCUGAAGAGCAGGACAGGCAGGAUUAGCGAGGCAAACAAAACCUGAAGGACUUCUUAAUAGCCAGACAUCUGAGGCCCUUCAGAACCACUUUGAAGAUCGGGGGUGAUACUGGCUGAGGCUCCAGGUUUAUCAUUUGAUUUGUGACUUUCAGCUCAGGCAGGAGACAGAGAGGAGAGUUCACCAGAGACAAGUCACUUCUGUUGAAUGAGUCACCAUCGCCACACAGCUGCUUGUUCCAGAGCAGCUAUGGUGGGGACAUUGUCUAGGAUCCCAGGAAAAGUGAAAACAUUGACCGGAAUGUUUCCAGCACAAUGAAUGUGAUAACAGAGAAUGAAUAAGUGGAACAGCUCCAACACAGCCAAGAAGAUGUUGCUUUAUGAGAGCUGACUUUCCCCAGAGCAGUGCGCUCCCAUCACAAGGAGGAUUAAUUCAUACAUUUCAAGGCCUAAAUGACAGACGAUAAAUGUGUGUAAUUAUGUAAGUGAGCCCACUGUGUUAGUAUGCAAAGGUGCCCACUUUUCCUGCAUCAGAUAUUGACCCUCUUCCAUGUCAAAAUUCAGAGAGUGACAGCUGCCAAUCUCACCCCAGCAUCCUCACCUGCUAACCAGGUAUCUGUACUCACUCAGCGUGCCUGCUUGGCGAAUCUCAGCUGAGUCAGUUACAACAGGUCCCCUUUCAGACAGGUGAUGAUUAGAAGGUUUGUGACUCAAAGAGCAUGACGUGUUCCCUUUCCUCUGCAGCAGGAAGAUACUCCCUGAUAUCGUAGCAGUGACUCAGCCUGCCAAGACAAUCCAUUUCAUUCUUGUACCAUUCUUGCAUAAAUCACAGUGCAGAAAGCUUGGCAAGAUAAUUUUUAAAUUUUAAACUCGACCAGGAGAACUGUUGAGAAAUAAGACUUCAUAUUGAAGUACGUUUCCUCUCCUCGGAAGCUUUCAAGAGGCGAUGCUGGGUGAAGGGUUACUCCAAGUUCUGGAGGCUGAAAGUCCAAGAUCACGAUGCUGGCAGAAUCGGUGUCUGGUGGGAGCCUGUUUCCUGGCUCGUUGAUGGUGCCUUCUCCUUGGGUCCUCACCCGGUGAAAGAGGUGAGGGAGCUCUCUCUGGCCAUUUUUUCUAAGGGCCCUAAUCCCAUCCUUAAGGACUCCAUCCUUAUGACCUCAUCACUUCCCAAAGAUGGCAUCUCCUAAUACUUAAGAGGUCAGGAUUUCGACAUGAAUUUUGAAGGAACACAAAUAUUCAGUCCAUAGCACCUUCCAAAGAGUUAGAGUGUGUGUUCCCAGCCUCAGCCACGUUGACAUUCUGACGGAAACAGUUCUUUGUGGUAGGAGACCGUCCUGUACACAGUGUGUUCAACAGCACCCCUGGCCCUCACCCACUAGAUGGUAGGUGCAUAUCUGUCACUUGUGACAAGCAAACUUACCUCCAGGCAUUGCCACAUGUCCCCUGCUCGGGUGGGAUGUGGGAAGCCAAGUCAACCCCAGGAGAGAGCCACUGAUGGAGACAUUCCAGGGCAAUCUUAUUCCUGAAGUCCUGUGUCUUAGUUAGAAACGUAAAAUACGUGAGUGGCAAACAACCCAAGACUUCCUUGCUGAACAGCAGGAAAUCAGCCUCCUGUAGCCCCACUCCUCACCUCCACUUGGCAUGACCAACCUCCUCAGUCCUCAGUGGGUUUUCUUCCCUCUUCCCUGGAACUGUGUAAGGAUUCCUGAUGUCUCCACCAGGCCCUAGCCUGACACCUGCUCCUCACGGCUCAGGACGCUGCCCCUCAAAGGCCUGGCCCAAAAUAGGAGCUGAUAAUCUGGCAUGACUUCUUAUACUAAGCCUUCCAAUUUCUCUCUGGAUUAGAUUCUUUUCUCCCUCUCCCUGGGAUAGGAAACAUUCAGAGUUUGACUCUUGAUUUGCCCACCACCCCAGGGCUGUGCCCCACAUGGCUUCUUUGGGAUAUUUAGAAGAAAAAUCCUCAUAAGAAAUUGACUGUGAGGGCCGGGCGCAGUGGCUCACACCUAUAAAUCUCAGAACUUUGGGAGGCCGAGGAAGGCAGAUCACUGAAGCUCAGGAGUUCGAGACCAGCCUGUCUGUACUAAAAAUACAAAUAUUGGCUAGGCAUGGUGGCACACACCUGUAAUCUCAGCUACUUGGGAGGCUGAGGCAGGAGAAUCGCUUGAACCUGGGAGGCAGAGGUUGUGGUAAGCCGAGAUUGGGCCACUUCACUCCAGCCUGGGUAACAGAGCGAGAUUCUGUC
rnacentral:lncRNA from 1 species